rnacentral:rRNA from 1 species
GUCUAUGGCCAUGCCACCCUGAAUGUGCCCGAUCUUAUCAGAUCUCAGAAGCUAAGUAGGGUCGGGCUUGGUUAGUACUUGGACGAGAGACCAUUUAGGAAUACUAGGUGCUGUAGAAA